UGCUAUUAUGAAAAAAUAUAGUGACAAUGCGAAACGUUGUACGAUUGUACUGACAGCGUGGCAUUAUGCAUCGGAGCAAUUACAAUGGUAGCAAUAGGAACACUGCUUAUUGCGUAUCUUCAACAUACCUGUGGUAUGUUUAGAAUUUCCAGUUAUCGUAUUAGACACGCAGUGCAUGUAAAUACAUUAGAAAACAUUAAAUCAAAGGAGAAGAAUUUAAUAUUGAAAAGAAUAAUUAGUGCUGUAAAUAUUCAUCGUAAGGCAAU